rnacentral:lncRNA from 1 species
AGGAUUUCUGUUUUGAUUUCACAUCUGGUGGAGCCAGAUUCUUUCAUUAUAGUGGAACAUCCAUGACAGUUAAUGUCUCUAAGAAGUCCAGUCGUCGUUCUGACUGG